UACAGAGGGUGCGAGCGUUAAUCGGAGUAACUGGGCGUAAAGGGCGCGUAGGCGGUGAGAUGUGUGUGAUGUGAAAGCCCCGGGCUUAACCUGGGAAGUGCAUCGCAAACUAUUUGACUAGAGUAUAUGAGAGGGUGGCGGAAUUUCCGGUGUAGCGGUGAAAUGCGUAGAGAUCGGAAGGAACGUCAAUGGCGAAGGCAGCCACCUGGCAUAAUACUGACGCUGAGGCGCGAAAGCGUGGGGAGCGAACAGG
rnacentral:rRNA from 1 species